GCCUAGUUAGCUUGGUUGGCAGAACGUCUACCUUGUAAGCGCUAGGUCGCGGGUUCGAUUCCCGCCCUGGGCG
rnacentral:tRNA from 1 species